AUUGAACGCUGGCGGCAUGCUUUACACAUGCAAGUCGAACGGCAGCACGGGGGCAACCCUGGUGGCGAGUGGCGAACGGGUGAGUAAUGCAUCGGAACGCGUCCUGUAAUGGGGGAUAACCUACCGAAAGGUAGGCUAAUACCGCAUACGUCCUGAGGGAGAAAGCGGGGGAUCGUAAGACCUCGCGUUAUAGGAGCGGCCGAUGUCGGAUUAGCUAGUUGGUGGGGUAAAGGCCUACCAAGGCGACGAUCCGUAGCGGGUCUGAGAGGACGGCCCGCCACACUGGGACUGAGACACGGCCCAGACUCCUACGGGAGGCAGCAGUGGGGAAUUUUUGGACAAGGUGGGGACCAACCCGUGACUCCACGCCAUCGCCG
rnacentral:rRNA from 1 species